CGCCGGUGGUGGAGUAUAAGUGGCCCGCUUCAGCGCCAUCCAUUUUCAGGGCUAGUUCAUUCGGCAGGUGAGUUGUUACACACUCCUUAGCGGAUUCCGACUUCCAUGGCCACCGUCCUGCUGUCUAUAUGAACCAACACCUUUUGUGGGAUC
rnacentral:rRNA from 1 species